UUUGUACUCCCAGUCGCGAGGGUAAGCGCUGCCGCCGCAGAUUAUCAUCUUGGGCCUGAAGUCCAGCGCCUUCUCCUCCAAUCGGUCAUAGUCGAUGAACCCCGUGGUGGAGUUCACCUUGUAAGGAAGACUCUCGAAGUAUAUUGAGGUGGCGGAGAUCUUCUUCCCGCCGGAGGUGUAGUACCCGUGGGUGAGGUGACCACCGGAGGGCAGAUCCAGCCCCAUGAUGCGGUCGUGAGGGUUCAGCACCGCCGUGUAGGCGGCAAAGUUGGCCGGGGAGCCCGAGUAGGGCUGCACAUUGACACCCCACGAUUGAACAUCGAGGUGGAAGGCAGCCAGAGCGCGUGAGCGACAAAGGUUUUCGAUCUCGUCAAUGAACUCAUUGCCACCGUAGUAGCGGUUUCCCGGCAUGCCUUCGGAGUAUUUGUUGGUGAGGGCGCUCCCCAGGGCCUCGAUCACGGCGAAGGAGGUG
rnacentral:lncRNA from 1 species